GACGAACGCUGGCGGCGUGCUUAACACAUGCAAGUCGAACGAUGAAGCCGGAGCUUGCUCUGGUGAAUUGGUGGCGAACGGGUGAGUAACACGUGAGUAACCUGCCCUUGACUCUGGGGUAACUGCUAGAAAUGGUAGCUAAUACCGGAUACGACCCUCGGAGGCAUCUCCAGGGGGUGGAAAGAAUUUCGGUCAAGGAUGGACUCGCGGCCUAUCAGCUAGUUGGUGAGGUAACGGCUCACCAAGGCGACGACGGGUAGCCGGCCUGAGAGGGUGACCGGCCACACUGGGACUGAGACACGGCCCAGACUCCUACGGGAGGCAGCAGUGGGGAAUAUUGCACAAUGGGCGCAAGCCUGAUGCAGCAACGCCGCGUGAGGGAUGACGGCCUUCGGGUUGUAAACCUCUUUUAGUAGGGAAGAAGCGAAAGUGACGGUACCUGCAGAAAAAGCACCGGCUAACUACGUGCCAGCCGCCGCGGUAA
rnacentral:rRNA from 1 species